rnacentral:rRNA from 1 species
UACGGAGGGUGCGAGCGUUGUCCGGAAUCACUGGGCGUAAAGGGCGCGUAGGUGGCGCGGGAAGUCAACGGUGAAAGUUCGGGGCUCAACCCUGAAUCGGCCGUCGAUACUCCCGGGCUCGAGCACUGUAGAGGCAGAUGGAAUUCCGGGUGUAGCGGUGGAAUGCGUAGAGAUCCGGAAGAACACCGGUGGCGAAGGCGGUCUGCUGGGCAGUUGCUGACACUGAUGCGCGACAGCGUGGGGAGCGAACAGG